GUUUUGUUAUUUACUUUGAGGUUUUUUAAUACAAAGUUAGAAAAUUUUUAAAAAUUUCUUAAAUUUCUACAGAAUAAAUUAAAUUUUUUAAACAAAAAUGGAUAAAAAAGAUUCUAAAGAAUCCACCACCUUGAUAUUUAAAAAUAUACCAAAACAAAUAGAUGAUUUAACAGGACUUUUAGACAAAUUAAAAUUGCCGGCAAGAGAAGUUAAACCAUUUGGACGCAAACGUGCUUUGAUAACUUUUCAAGAAAAAAAUGAAGCAGAACAGGCUUUAAGUGCUCUUAAAGAAUUGGAAUUUAAUGGCAAUUGUUGUAAUAUAGCAAUAUUUUGUAAAGACAAACCUAACAACAACAGCAUAGUGCAAAAACCCAACAAAACUUCUAUAAGAAAAAGCAAUAAAAGUAUACAGACCCAAUUGGAAGACACGUCAGGAACAAAGGCUUUAAAUAAAGAACAACAACUUAACAAGUACGUACAAAAGUUAUAUGCUGUAGAAGAAGAAUUGGGUUUUAAUCAGCCUCCUGCUCCCUAUUUGAAAUACACAUAUCCUCCUAUAAAUAAGGAUAUUUUAGAUAACAUUUGUAUAUCUUUGCUAAGUAAUAAACGUUUCUAUACACAAGCUUUACAUCUAAUGAAUCGUAUGAAUUUGGAGCCACCUUUUAAUAAAAGAAAUUAUAAAUUUACCCCACCUGGGGUACCAAAGGAGGCACAAACCCAAACAGAUGAAGUACAAAUACAGGAAAAACAAACUUUAUCUCUACAAGAAGAAAUUGAAAGUGAAUUGGAAUCCGCAGAAGAAGAAGAAUAUAAACCAAAACCUAAACCUACACAACAACUAAAAAGAAAACUAACCAAUCAACCAGAACAAUAUAAAAAGAAGGCCCGACAAAUGUUGCUCUCUACACAAAAGUUAAAUAAAGAAACGCACAAAAAACCAGCAAAAACUAAUUUAUCUAUUAAGGAAAUAUUUGAGACAACAGAGCAUAACUUAACCACCAGCAACAAAAUAGAGUUGCAAUUGAAGCCCAAUAAAAAGGAAACCUCCAAAUCCUUAGUAUCACUAUCCUCGAAUUUAAAUACACAAAAACUUUCUCUGGAAGAACUUGAAAAACUACCCAUUUACAAGAAUUAUCAAAAAGGAUCAGCCAGCAAUAAGCUUUAUAUUAAAAAUUUACACAAAGAUGUAACCACUGAUGAUUUAAGAUUAAUCUAUCAACGUUAUCUUAAGACUGAGGCUCUCAGUUUAGAUAUAAAAGUUAUGCAACAUGGUCGUAUGAAGGGACAAGCUUUUGUUACUUUUCAGGGCCAGGAAAUGGAUAUUAUAAAGCCUUUAAUAGCUGAAGCUUUAGAGGAAACUAAUGGUUUUGUAUUACGCGAUAAACCCAUGGUAGUGUGUUAUGGAAAACAAACUUAAAGAAAGAGACAACUUGGUCUUAUCGACACCAUUUAUGUAGAUGGUGGACAACCACAAAAUAAUAAUACUUCCACAAAAUCCAGUAAAUCAAAAUUAUCUUUACAAUCUUAUGAAUAUGUUAUAGCAGUAGAUUUUGAAGCCACUUGCUGGGAAAAUAAAGCUCCCCCGAAAUGGCGUGAAUCUGAAAUUAUAGAAUUUCCCGCUGUUUUGGUUAAUCUAAAGACCGGCAAAAUCGAAGCAGAAUUUCAUAAAUACAUCAUGCCCAUUGAAUCACCCAAAUUGAGUGCAUUUUGCAC